rnacentral:rRNA from 1 species
GAUGAACGCUGGCGGCGUGCCUAAUACAUGCAAGUCGAGCGAACAGACGAUGAGCUUGCUCCUCUGACGUUAGCGGCGGACGGGUGAGUAACACGUGGAUAACCUACCUAUAAGACUGGGAUAACUUCGGGAAACCGGGUCUAAUACCGGAUAAUAUAUUGAACCGCAUGGUUCAAUAGUGAAAGACGGUUUUGCUGUCACUUAUAGAAGGAUCCGCGCCGCAUUAGCUAGUUGGUAAGGUAACGGCUUACCAAGGCAACGAUGCGUAGCCGACCUGAGAGGGUGAUCGGCGACACUGGAACUGAGACACGGUCAAGACUCCUACGGGAGGCAGCAGUAGGGAAUCUUCCGCAAUGGGCGAAAGCCUGACGGAGCAACGCCGCGUGAGUGAUGAAGGUCCUCGGAUCGUAAAACUCUGUUAUUAGGGAAGAACAAAUGUGUAAGUAACUAUGCACGUCUUGACGGUAACUAAUCAGAAAGCCACGGCUAACUACGUG